rnacentral:sRNA from 1 species
UUUUUUGACGGGAAAUAGAUUUACAAGGGAUUUUAAAAGGGUUUUAAAAGAUUUACAAGAGAUUUUAAAACAUUUACAAGAGAUUUUAAAAGGGUUUUAAAAGAUUUACAAGGGAUUUUAAAAGAGUUUUAAAAAAUUUACAAUGGAUUUUAAAAGGGUUUUAAAAGAUUUACAAGGGCUUUAAAAGAUUUACAAAUGUUUUUUAAAGAUUUUUAAUUGGUUUAAAAUUGUUUUAAAAGGGUUUUAAAAUAUUUACAAGUGAUUUUAAAAGGGUUUUAAAAUAUUUACAAGGGAUUUUAAAAGGGUUUUAAAAUAUUUACAAGAGAUUUUAAAGAGUUUUAAAAGAUUUACAAAGGUUUUUAAAAGAUUUUUAAAGGGUUUAAAAGUGUUUUAAAAGAUUUACAAGGGAUUUUUAAUGGGUUUUAAAGUUUUACAAAUGAUUUUAAAAGGGUUUUAAAAGAUGUAUAAGGGUUCUGAAAAGAUUUUUAUAGAAUUUACAAGAAGACCCUUUAAAAACUCUUGUAACUCUUUUUAAAAACUUUUUAAAAUUAUUUGUAAAUCUUUUAAAACCCUUUUAAAAUCUCUUGUACAUCUUUUAAAACCCUUUUAAAAUCCCUUGUAAAUCUAUUUUCCGCCAAAAAAAAAUUAUAAGGAUUUUUAAAAGCAUUUUUUUGGCUGAGAAAAAAUUCGUUACAAAAACA